rnacentral:rRNA from 1 species
CUACGGGAGGCACCAGUGGGGAAUCUUGGACAAUGGGCGCAAGCCUGAUCCAGCCAUGCCGCGUGAGUGAAGAAGGCCUUAGGGUCGUAAAGCUCUUUCGCCAGAGAUGAUAAUGACAGUAUCUGGUAAAGAAACCCCGGCUAACUCCGUGCCAGCAGCCGCGGUAAUAGGGAGGGGGUUAGCGUUGUUCGGAAUUACUGGGCGUAAAGCGCGCGUAGGCGGAUUAGUCAGUCAGAGGUGAAAUCCCAGGGCUCAACCCUGGAACUGCCUUUGAUACUGCUAGUCUUGAGUUCGAGAGAGGUGAGUGGAAUUCCGAGUGUAGAGGUGAAAUUCGUAGAUAUUCGGAGGAACACCAGUGGCGAAGGCGGCUCACUGGCUCGAUACUGACGCUGAGGCGCGAAAGUGUGGGGAGCAAACAGGAUUAGAUACCCCCGUAGUC